rnacentral:rRNA from 1 species
CUUGGUCAUUUAGAGGAAGUAAAAGUCGUAACAAGGUCUCCGUAGGUGAACCUGCGGAGGGAUCAUUAAUAAGAUAAAAGACCUCUGGGUCCUUCAUCCUCAAACCUGUGGAAGCGAGAUGUGUUUCGGCGCCUCUGUGCGUCGAAUCUAUGCUGUUUAGCUUGUGUCUGACUGAAAACAAACAUUUAAAACUUUCAACAAAGGAUCUCUUGGCUCUCGUAUCGAUGAAGAACGCAGCAAAGCGCGAAAUGUAAUGUGAAUUGCAGAACAUUGUGAAUCAUCGAAUCUUUGAACGCACAUUGCGCCUCCCGUAAAUGGGAGGCAUGCCUGUCUGAGCGUCAUUUAAAACCAUAACCUUUGGGUUGUAUUGGGACUCGCCCUAUGGCGUCUCCUCAAAGUCAUCGUGUCUAAAAGCGUACGAGCUCCAUUAGGACAGAACGUUUGAGGACCCUAAACUCUCUGACUUGACCUCAGAUCAGGUAGGACUACCGCCUGAACUUAAGCAUAUCAAUAAGCGGAGGA